CUUCGUCUCUCUUACUUUAUCAUGUAUCUCUCUCUUACUAUCUUCAAUUGUACUAUUCUGGUUUUACUUUAAGAAUUUUUCACUUUUGGCUCGAGUUUUGCUUUCGCGAUGUUGUAUUCCGACUGACAGGUGUCAAAUUUCUUGAUUCCGUCCAGAUUUCCCAAAAGGAUGUUCUUCGUGAAGUUUUGGAGAUCCGAGGGGACUGUAAUUGGUUGUCACUGGAGAUUAAGAAAUAUUUGACGAGAAUAGAGAAAUGAUCUGUGAACGAAAUCCCCAAAGGUCAGUAAUGCAUUUCUGUCAUGUCAAGUAUUAUUUCUGAUUGGCAAAAUGACUUACUUUAGCUAGGUAGUUUGUUCUAAUUUUAAGGAUUCAACUGAUUAAAAAAGAAGCAGAUGGGCUUGCAGUAGGGGCAAUGAGGCUGAUGGAAGCCGAGGUGAGUAAGAUGAAGGGUACAUCACUUGAUGCCAUCCAUAAAUUCCUAAAAUUAUAUGUUCGCCAGGAGAGAACGUGUAAUAGUUUUGAUUUAAAGAAACUUCUUUUGAGUAUAUUAUAUGUGUAUUUGUGUGAUGAACAUGUAAGCAUAUAUCUGAAAUUAUAGUUGGAAGACUUUCCAAGUGAAGCACUUCUGCUUUAGUGAUAACUGAAUUAAGUUCUCGCUGGUUGUUUUAAGCUAAU